rnacentral:rRNA from 1 species
CAAUAGCGUAUAUUUAAGUUGUUGCAGUUAAAAAGCUCGUAGUUGGAUUUGUGGUGUACUUUGGCGGCCCGUCACUAUGUGAUGGAGCUUGCUGAAGUCGCCAUCCUUGGGUGGAUCCUGUGUGGCAUUAAGUUGUCGUGCAGGGGAUGCCCAUCGUUUACUGUGAAAAAAUUAGAGUGUUCAAAGCAGGCUUAUGCCGUUGAAUAUAUUAGCAUGGAAUAAUAAGAUAGGACCUUGGUACUAUUUUGUUGGUUUGCGCACCAAGGUAAUGAUUAAUAGGGACAGUUGGGGGUAUUCGUAUUUCAUUGUCAGAGGUGAAAUUCUUGGAUUUUUGAAAGACGAACUACUGCGAAAGCAUUUACCAAGGAUGUUUUCAUUAA